AACUAUGGCCUCUGCACGUUCUAAGGCAAAUAUUAGGGAUGCACUUGUAUUUUAUAGUAUGCUAACCCUUCCCCAAAAGUUGAACCGAAGAGCUAAGAGCCGGUAGAAUUAAACCAAGUGAUUUGGACAUGGCAAGAUUUGUUUUUUUUUUACACAUGACUUGACACCUGUUUGUAAACAUAUUCUGUUUUUUUUUUUUUUUUUUUUAACAUUAUAUCCUUCCGUUAGCUCAGCCUGUGAAUUCAACCAAGGGUACGGGAUGUUGAUUUUCCCCAACAAUUUUGAGAGCAGUUUAUGAAAAAAGGCAUGCUUUUUGUUCAUAUUCUUUUUACAGAACGACCUUUGGAGUUGAAAGCCAGUGUUUGUUUCCAGAGAAGCAGCAAAAAAAAAAAAAAAAAGAAAAAAAAGUUGAACGAAAAAAAGACAAAUACACGGAAAAAAGGAGCACUUAAUCACACCGACGGCGAAAAAACUUCUUAAUUUAAAUCUAACCGUUGUUACCGAACAGAGAAAAACGUUUUGUCUGUACAAGAAAAAAUGGGCGGGGCCGUGUUAUUACAGCUGUAGGGUAAUUGCCAAUAAUCAAAUUAAUGUUGUAAUAAUAUUUUUAAAAGGUGUAAAAAAUAAAAAAUAAAAGUGAAGCUGAAAUAUUUGUUAAUGAACAGUACCACAAAAAUUAAUGUGAACAUAAGACUUAUCAACCAAACAGGGAAAUGAGUGAAAAAACAACUGAGGGACAUGUGGGAUGACAAUAGGCUGCCCCCGGUGGCCAAGUCAAUAAAUGCAGAAUUCAAUUAUAUUAUGAAAAAAUUUCUGGUGUUUUCCCUUAAGGUUGGUUCACCCGUGUUUAAAAAUCGUAUUUUUUUUUUAGUCAUAGUUUUUUUUUUUACAUAUAGUUUUCCAGAUAUUUUGAUCUUCCCUACAUCCCAAUACAAUGGAGGCGACUUGAAUUUUUCUUUUUUUUUUUUUUAAACUAAUUGCAUCUACCAAGUGAAACAUUUACCCAGAGGAUUAAACAUGAGGUUGUGAUUAAUGCGUUUCAGUGACAUCAGCUCCAUUAAUUUGUCCUCCACUGUGUUAACACAGGAGCUUAGGAACCAAUCUCUAGAGACAGAAAUCCCCAGACGCCAAAGUGAAAACCAGACAAUUUUUUUUUUUCCAAACGGAUAAUGAAGAUGUUGACGGUGCUGAAAACACAACAAGUAAGCAGAAGACGGAGCGCUCUGGUCGAGCCGAACACUUAGCAUCGGAGCAUGUUGUAAGUUUCAAAGAGCACCCCCUACAGGACAUUCAGUGAAUUACAUGUUUGAUUGAAAAAAAAAAA